GAUGAACGCUGGCGGCGUGCUUAACACAUGCAAGUCGAACGGAAAGGCCCAAGCUUGCUUGGGUACUCGAGUGGCGAACGGGUGAGUAACACGUGGGUGAUCUGCCCUGCACUUCGGGAUAAGCCUGGGAAACUGGGUCUAAUACCGGAUAGGACGAUGGUUUGGAUGCCAUUGUGGAAAGUUUUUUCGGUGUGGGAUGAGCUCGCGGCCUAUCAGCUUGUUGGUGGGGUAAUGGCCUACCAAGGCGUCGACGGGUAGCCGGCCUGAGAGGGUGUACGGCCACAUUGGGACUGAGAGACGGCCCAGACUCCUACGGGAGGCAGCAGGGGGGAAUAUUGCACAAUGGGCGCAAGCCUGAUGCAGCGACGCCGCGUGGGGGAUGACGGCCUUCGGGUUGUAAACUCCUUUCGCUAGGGACGAAGCGUUUUUGUGACGGUACCUGGAGAAGAAGCACCGGCUAACUACGUG
rnacentral:rRNA from 1 species